GACGAACGCUGGCGGCGUGCCUAAUGCAUGCAAGUCGAGCGGGCUACAGUCUUCGGAUUGUAGCUUAGCGGCGAACGGGUGAGUAACACGUAGGUAAUCUACCCUUCAGAGGAGGACAACCUCAGGAAACUGAGGCUAAACCUCCAUACGUUCAUAUGCAGGGAUGCAGAUGAAGAAAGAGUUACCCGUGAGGGUAGCUGCUGAAGGAUGAGCCUGCGGCCCAUCAGGUAGUUGGUGAGGUAACGGCUCACCAAGCCUAAGACGGGUAACCGGUCUGAGAGGAUGUCCGGUCACACUGGGACUGAGACACGGCCCAGACUCCUACGGGAGGCAGCAGCAGGGAAUCUUCCGCAAUGGGCGCAAGCCUGACGGAGCAACGCCGCGUGGGUGAAGAAGGCCUUCGGGUGUAAAGCCCUGUCUUAUGGGAAGAAGUCAGUGACGGUACCAUAGGAGGAAGCCACGGCUAACGUACGUGCCAGCAGCCGCGGUAAGGCUACG
rnacentral:rRNA from 1 species